AUUGAACGCUGGCGGCAUGCUUUACACAUGCAAGUCGAACGGCAGCGAGAGAGAAGCUUGCUUCUCUUGUCGGCGAGUGGCGAACGGGUGAGUAAUACAUCGGAACGUACCCUGUAGUGGGGGAUAACUACUCGAAAGAGUGGCUAAUACCGCAUACAACCUGAGGGUAAAAGUGGGGGACCGCAAGGCCUCACGCUAUAGGAGCGGCCGAUGGAAGAUUAGCUAGUUGGUGAGGUAACGGCUUACCAAGGCGACGAUCUGUAGCGGGUCUGAGAAGAUGAUCCGCCACACUGGAACUGAGACACGGUCCAGACUCCUACGGGAGGCAGCAGUGGGGAAUUUUGGACAAUGGGCGCAAGCCUGAUCCAGCCAUGCCGCGUGAGUGAAGAAGGCCUGGUGUAAGAUCUUCGUCCGGGAACGGAAAUACG
rnacentral:rRNA from 1 species